CAGUCGCGCGGGAAUACAGAGGGUGCAAGCGUUAAUCGGAAUUACUGGGCGUAAAGCGCGCGUAGGUGGUUUGUUAAGUUGGAUGUGAAAUCCCCGGGCUCAACCUGGGAACUGCAUCCAAAACUGGCAAGCUAGAGUAUGGUAGAGGGUGGUGGAAUUUCCUGUGUAGCGGUGAAAUGCGUAGAUAUAGGAAGGAACACCAGUGGCGAAGGCGACCACCUGGACUGAUACUGACACUGAGGUGCGAAAGCGUGGGGAGCAAACAGGAUUAGAUACCCGCGUAGUCCCUGUCUCUUAUACA
rnacentral:rRNA from 1 species